rnacentral:rRNA from 1 species
GGGCCCGCACAAGCGGUGGAGCAUGUGGUUUAAUUCGAUGCAACGCGAAAAACCUUACCUACUCUUGACAUACUUGGGAGCUCUUGUAAUGAGAGUGUGCCUUAUGGAACCAAGAUACAGGUGCUGCAUGGCUGUCGUCAGCUCGUGCCGUGAGGUGUCGGGUUAAGUCCCAUAACGAGCGCAACCCCUAUCUUUAGUUGCCAGCGGUUCGGCCGGGGACUCUAAAGAAACUGCCCGCGCAAGCGGUGAGGAAGGUGGGGAUGACGUCAAAUCAUCACGGCCCUUACGUCUUGGGCUACACACGUGCUACAAUGGUAGUGACAAUGGGCAGCCACUCCGCGAGGAGGCGCAAA